AACUGGUACAAUCAUAGGCACACGUAAAACUGAUUAAGUGGUCAAGACAUUUACGCCCUUCCAGAAUAUGAGACCGUCAAAGAAGAUGCACCCCAAAUGCAGAUUUAGAGGGAUUUCAAGCCAGUGUCAAGCCAGUAAUAAGAAUCAAGAGCCUUUGUGUAGACGUCUCACUGCUGCUGGCGGCGGGACUGAAAAGACAGCAGAGCUUCUCGGGCGUGGUCACCCCACGAGCUGUGAUCAAAGCACUGCACGGAGAACCAGCCAAGCACCAGCAGCUCGCCUCCCUGCUUCCCCACAGCCCUCCUUCACAGGACACCUGCGCAGCUCUGGCAGGAAGUCCCCGAGAGGCCAGGCUGUCCAAGCCCCAGGGGGAGCGAGGUACAGCCUCAGGUAGCCUCCCCAAGGACAAGGUGUCAGCGCAGCUGGUAUUCUUCGUGGGAGAUGGGCAGAGGCCUCCCUACCUUGUCAGACCUGAUGUGGAUCAGAGAGCAAAGGUGUGUUCUGCAACUGGCAGAACUUCUGACAUCCUGAAUGCGAACUGGCCAGGGAACGGGAGGGGGAAACAGAGGGAAAGGCUGAGCUNUAUGGAGGUUCCCAGGCUAGGGGUCCAAUCGGAGCUGUAGCCACCAGCCUACGCCAGAGCCACAGCAACGUGGGAUCCAAGCCGCGUCUGCAACCUACACCACAGCUCAAGGCAACGCCGGAUCGUUAACCCACCGAGCAAGGGCAGGGACCGAACCCGCAACCUCAUGGUUCCUAGUCGGAUUCGUCAACCACUGCGCCACGACGGCAACUCCUGAGCUAUUACAUUCUUAAUGAAGUCUUGAUUGGAUUCGGAUGGAAACUUAGCGAACACUCUUUCCCCUAGAACUGUAUAGUCAGCCCUCUGUACCUACAGGUUCCACAUCCUCAGAUACAACCAACCACAGAUUCAAAAUAUUCACACACCAAAAAAAAUUCCAGAAAGUUCCAGUACGCAAAAGUUGAAUUUGCAGCACACCAGCAACUAUUUAUAUAGCAUUUACAACUGCUGACAUUAUAUUGGGUAUUAUAAGUAAUCUACAGAUGAUUUAAUGUAUACAGAAGGAUGUGUGUAAGUUAUAUGCAAAUACUGCACCAUUUUAUGUCGGGGACUCAGGCAUCUGCAGAUUAUGGCCUUCUCAGGGUCCUGGAACCAAUCCUUCACAGACACUGAGAGGCAACUGUAUACCCUAUCAAAGGGAAAGGAACUGUAUACCCUAUCAAAGGGAAGGGAAGAUGGCAAGCUUAAAUGAAAGUCAGAAAUGGGUUUGACGGUGAAAUUUCAGUGCCGUGAGCAGUGAGGGGAGUUUUCAGCAGGCAGCAGGCAGCAUUUCAGGUGACAGAGGCCAUCUCCUUUACCUGCAUGCAGAGCUGCCCCCAUGGGAAAAGUCUCCCCCUUAUGACCACGUCCUAUGCAGCCACUAGCACAAUAGCAUUCUCACAGCCCUUCAGAAAUCAGGCAGAGGGCAUUGUUGGGGCACAGAGGCAGUAGCUACAGGAGAACCUGCAGAUGGAACACCCCGCAAAGCUGGUCUAACCCUACUCCCAAUCCCAAGAUGAGAAAGAGCAUCACUUCUUCAACAUAAGAGACUACUACAGCCUUCUUGAGCUAUUUUCUUCCUGCAACCAUGGCCAAGUUUAACACUGCCAAGGACAUUAGCACCUACUCAGGGGCCCUUCUGAUACUAGCAUUGAAAGAUGGAGAGGGUGCAGAAUUUGGAAGAAAGCAGCAGAGCAGCAAUGCCUAUGGGAUGGGUUAGCAUCUUCAGACAUGGAUUUGGGACAUUUCUGGCUCAGCUCAUCCUAGGCCUUCUAUAUAUACAUUUUUAAUUCUAUUGACUUACAAUGUU
rnacentral:lncRNA from 1 species